CAGGAGAGCUUUCAGUGCUGGGCUACUCAAAUCACGGUCCUCAAGGUCCGAGCCCUGAAAUAUAUCAGGAGAGCUUUCAGUGCUGGGCUACUCAAAUCACGGUCCUCAAGGUCCGAGCCCUGAAAUAUAUCAGGAGAGCUUUCAGUGCUGGGCUACUCAAAUCACGGUCCUCAAGGUCCGAGCCCUGAAAUAUAUCAGGAGAGCUUUCAGUGCUGGGCUACUCAAAUCACGGUCCUCAAGGUCCGAGCCCUGAAAUAUAUCAGGAGAGCUUUCAGUGCUGGGCUACUCAAAUCACGGUCCUCAAGGUCCGAGCCCUGAAAUAUAUCAGGAGAGCUUUCAGUGCUGGGCUACUCAAAUCACGGUCCUCAAGGUCCGAGCCCUGAA